UACAGAGGUCUCAAGCGUUGUUCGGAUUCAUUGGGCGUAAAGGGUGCGCAGGCUGCGUGGUAAGUCGGGUGUGAAAUUUAGGAGCUUAACUUCUAAACUGCACCUGAUACUGCUAUGCUAGAGGACUGUAGAGGAGAUUGGAAUUCACGGUGUAGCAGUGAAAUGCGUAGAUAUCGUGAGGAAGACCAGUGGCGAAGGCGAAUCUCUGGGCAGUUCCUGACGCUCAUGCACGAAGGCUAGGGGAGCAAACGGG
rnacentral:rRNA from 1 species